rnacentral:rRNA from 1 species
GAUUCCCUCAGUAGCGGCGAGCGAAGCGGGAAGAGCCCAACAUGAAAAGGCCGUGCCGUCCGCGGUGCGGCCGUUGUAAUGUGAGCAGCCUGGGUGCGUCAGUGCAGGUAAGUGACAUGAAAAUGUUCGCCGUGGAGGGUGAGAGCCCCGUCCAGCCUGCACAGGGCGUGCCGUACAGGGCUGUCUCGAAUGAGUCGGGUAGCUUGGGAAUGCUGCUCUAAGAUCGGUGGUAAAUUUCAUCGAAGGCUAAAUACUGCUGGAAGACCGAUAGUGAACAAGUACCGUGAGGGAAAGAUGAAAAGCACUUUGAAAAGAGGGUGAAAAGAAUCUGAAACCGUUGUGAGGGAAGCGGAUUGCGUUGCAGUAACUGUGGGCGCCGGUGUGUUCAGCCUGUUUCGGCGGGUGUAGUGGCACCGGUGGCUCCGUCUGCUGUGGGUUUGUGGUGGCUGAUUGCAAGGCUGCUGCGGACUGAGGGCUCCGUGCUGCUUUGCGGCGGCACGUGAGGACGGCAGGGUGACGACGCGAUACGACCCGUCUUGAAACACGGACCAAGGAGUCUAGCACAGCUGCGAGUCUGAGGGUGUCAAAGCCUGUGGGCGAAGUGAAAGCGAAAGAUGGCGGUAAUUCCAUAUUUUCAGAAUGACAAAGUUGUUGCAAUUUGGGGCGGCGCGCGAUCUCUGAUUGCGUGUCCGACCUAGAGCAGUUGUGCUGGUACCCGAAAGAUGGUGAACUAUUCCUGAGUAGGGUGAAGCCGGAGGAAACUCUGGUGGAAGCCCGAAGCGGUGCUGACGUGCAA